UACGGAAGGUGCAAGCGUUGUCCGGAUUGACUGGGUGUAAAGGGCGCGUAGGCGGAGAGGUGUGUCGGGAGUGAAAUCGUGCGGCUUAACCGUAUCAAUUGCUUUCGAAACUACCUCCCUUGAGUACAGAAGGGGCAGAUGGAAUACCUGGUGUAGCGGUGGAAUGCGUAGAUAUCAGGUAGAACACCGGAGGCGAAGGCGGUCUGCUGGUCUGUAACUGACGCUGAGGCGCGAAAGUGUGGGGAGCAAACAGG
rnacentral:rRNA from 1 species